rnacentral:sRNA from 1 species
AUGAGUAAACCAAAUUUAAAGAAAACACAUGUAUAUUCAGUUUUAGGUAUAGGACAACAAAAAUUAAGGGUGCUAGGAAAAGUAUUUUUGACUAUUAAGAUAAAAGACAAAUGUUUUGAUUUUGAUUUUCAUGUCAUUGACACUUUACCACAUUCACUCAUCAUAGGUGUAGACUUUUUAGAGACAAACAAUGUAACUAUUAAUUUAUCUAGAAAAUCUAUGGAAAUAUCAGAUAAAUGUGCUAAAAUUUGUUCACUUGAGACUAAUUCAGGUUUAGCUCGAUGUUUUAAAUCUUGUGCAUUGCCUGCCAAUUCCGAGAUAGUUCUACCAGUGCAUGUGUCAAGAAGAAUCCAAGGUGAGCAAGUUUUAUUAGAACCCAAUCCAAAUCUUGAAAAGAAGCAGCUAAUGGGUGCACGAUGCAUAGUUACAGUCAACAAAGGUAAGUCAGUAUUUAGAAUCAUUAAUCCAACAAAUAAAACCGUACACUUACCAAGACGCUAUGUACUUGCAAAUGCAAUUAACGUAGAUGCACAAUAUAUGCAGACUUUAGAUAAUGCCAAAGUUAAAAGCAUAAACACAAUAGAGACAAAGCCGAAAAACACAAACAGAGACAAUUUAGAAUUCGAUUUAUCGAAAGCAGAGUUGACGUCACAACAAAAAUCGCAACUUCGGACGUUCCUUAAUGAAAACAAGAAUGUUUUUGCUACGAACUUGAAAGAAUUAGGCCAAGCUACAUCGUUUAAGCAUAAGAUCGAAACACACGAUUCACAUCCGGUGAAAAUGCCAUUUUAUCGACAACCACCACACUUACAAAGAGAAAUAGAUAGACAAGUCCAAGAAAUGUUAGAUAACAACAUUAUUGUGCCUUCAACAUCUGACUGGUUUUCUCCAGUACUCCUAGUGCGCAAGCGCGAUGGGUCAUAUCGAUUCGCAAUCGAUUAUCGUAAAGUCAAUAAGCAAACAAAAUCGAUUUACUUUCCAUUACCCAGGCUUGAGUGUGUCUUUGAUGCGAUAGGCGCUGCCAAAGCAACCAUGUUCUCAGUACUCGAUUUAGCUUCCGGGUAUUGGCAAAUUCCAAUGGACCCAGAAACGAGACACAAAGCAGCUUUCAUAACACAAUCAGGAAUUUAUGAAUGGCUAAGACUACCAUUUGGUUUAUCAAAUUCUCCUGCAUCUUUUUCAAUGGUUAUGGCGCAAGUUUUAAGGGGAAUCAACUGGAAAUUUGUCCUAUGUUAUGUCGACGAUAUCCUAGUUUUCAGCGAAAAUUUUGAAACUCAUCUAGAUCAUUUACAGCAACUUUUCAACUGUCUCUCAAAAGCCAAUUUAACAUUAAAACCAUCCAAAUGUAGUUUUGCAGUUACAGAGGUUAAAUAUCUCGGUCAUGUCAUCUCCAAAGAAGGUGUCAAAGUGGACCCAGAGAAAACUUCUGCAGUUGCAACAUUUCCUGAACCGAAAACGCAAAAAGACGUACGUAGUUUCUUAGGUAUGUGCAAUUACUAUAGAAAAUUCGUUCAAUCAUACUCAAAAAUCACUACACCAUUAACGGAAUUAUUGAAAAAGGAUGUUCAAUUUCGUUGGACACCGCAAUGUCAAAUCGCAUUUGACGAUCUGAAGACAAGACUUACAUCAUCACCAAUUCUCGCAUAUGCCGACAUGAACAAACCUUUUGAAAUCAUAUGUGAUGCAUCAGAUUAUGCAAUAGGACAUAUGCUGGUACAAAAAGACGACCAAAAUAGAUCAAGAGUAAUAGCAUACGGAGGAAGAUCGUUAGGUGCAGCAGAGAGAAAAUACCACACAACCGAAAAAGAAUGUUUAGCUAUUGUCAACGCAAUCAAAAACCAUGACACCUAUCUGUCAAACAAUCGAUUUAUAAUACAUACCGAUCAUCAAGCCCUUUGUUGGCUCCAAAACACAAAACAUAAAUCGGGAAGACUCUUAAGAUGGGCAAUGGCGUUACAACAUUAUACAUUUGAUAUUAAGCAUAUUAAGGGAAAAGACAACACAUGUGCUGAUGCAUUAAGCAGGCGAACAUACCCAGAAACACAUCCAGAUCAAGAUCAGAUGGAAGAUGGUCCAAAAUCAGCAGACAUUUUCACACUUGAUAACACAAAAGAAGAAAUAACAGAGGUACAUUUCUAUUAUGACCACGAUCCAGAUACAGUCAUAGCAGCCGUACAAGACGAUAACUCGACAGUGCAAGUCGAACAGCAGGAUGAUAUAGGUACGUUACAACGCACAUGUCCUGACUUUGAAGACAUAUUUGCAUACUUGAAUGAUGGAACUCUCCCAGAAAAUAACAAAUUAGCACGUAAAGUCAACAUAGAAUCUCAACAAUAUAGUAUAUUGAAUGGCAUUCUAUAUCAUUGGUACCAACGACGAACUAAGAAACCAGAAGAACAAGCAAGACAACAUCAACAAUUAGCACUUCCAAGAGUACUAAGGGAUGAUGCAUUACUAGCUUAUCAUGAUAGUCAAAGCGGUGGCGCACAUUUAGCAACAAAAAGAGUUUACGAAGCACUUAAACUAAAGUACUAUUGGCCAAAAAUGCACCAACAGGUAGAUGAUUAUGUUAGGUCAUGUGACCGAUGUCAAAGGAUAAAAACUAGAAAUCAAAAUCAUAAAGCACCACUAACACCUAUGCCUAUAGCGGACUCAUUUGAAAGAUGGCACAUAGACAUUUUAGAGCUCACACAAACAAAAGACGGAGAUAGGUACGUGUUACUUGUCGUUGAUAGUUUUACCAGAUGGUGUGAAGCUUUCGCGCUAAAAACACAAGACGCCAACGCCAUAGCAAAAGUUUUAUAUGCAGAAAUAUUUUGUAGAUUUGGUUGUCCAAAAAUUUUGCUAAGUGAUAGGGGAGCCGCUUUUAUGUCGAAACUUGUCAGCGCGCUUAGUGAAAUUUUUCAUGUUAAACGUCACUACACUUCUUCAUAUCACCCACAAACAAACUCAACAGUCGAAAGACAAAAUUCUACAUUAGCACAAUGUUUAAGAGCAUAUUGUAGCAAAGAUCAUAACAACUGGCCAAAAUUACUACCAGGAAUUAUGAUGGCUUUUAGAAUGUCACCAGCAACAGAAUCAACUGAAUACUCACCAUAUUAUCUACUGUUUGGUAAAGAGAUGAACUUGCCAUUCGAUGUAGACGUACAACCAAAAGAUAACAUGGGCAAAGAGGCAAAAGAACAUAUCCAGGAGGUAAUAGAAAAAUUAAAAAUAGCAAAAGAAAUAGCUACAGACAAUGUUACUCGUCGCCAAGAAAAGAAUAAACAGCAUUAUGACAAAAAGGCAAAGGAACCAGAUUUUAGGGUUGGAAAAAAAGUUUUAAUUCGAGUUUACAAAAUCCCCCCAGGACUUUCUCGUAAGUUACAAGACAAAUCAGACGGACCUUAUUUGAUAACACAAUUGGGACCAAAUCACACAUAUCGUUUAAUGAAUUGCAACACACGCAAAGUAAUGAAAUCGUUGAUCAAUGCUCAACAUUUACGUAUUUAUCACGACCCACGUAUAUUUAGACGUCAAGAUGACAUAAUCGUCACACCACAGAACAAUGAUGAAGAAAACGAUGAUCAUCAACCAAAUGCAGAUAACGCACAAACGGUUAACAAUGAAGUUGACAAAGAAAUAGUAGACGAAACAACGUAUGAAGUUGAAUGUCUACUUGGAAAGAAAACAAUGAAUGGAGUUGUUCAUUACAAAUGCAAAUGGAAAGACGGAUCAACUCCAACCUGGGAACCAAUCGAUAACAUUGCGGAAAAUCUUAUCGAAGAUUAUCAUAUUAAGUAUACUCAACAAGGUAAACGACGCAAACGAAAAGGUAAUCAGAAUUAUCGUUAUUUCAAUCAAUCCCAGGAUUAAAACAAAUCUUACGAAGGUAAGUGUCAUAAUUGCCUCUAAAGCCUUGAUGGCAGACUAAUGCAGGUAAGUGCAGAACAGUAUAGAACAUUUACGAUUAACAUGUGCACUUGGUUGGAUUCGAUUGGUUCAUAAGCGACGUCGUGAAUUUUAUUUGGCAUAUAUUUUUUUUUAUCAAAGUUCAUUUUUCAAAAUUCAGUGUCUGUCAAUUAUUUAAGUGUUUGAUCAACACUUAUGUGACUAGCACUAUUUUUUUUCUUUUUAUAGGAAAUGUAACCAGUCGAUUUAGCCUAAUGUUAAUGUUUAUCGUUAUGGUCAUACUACCACUCAGCAUCGUCGGAGGACACAUGACAGUGCAGGCAAUCAAUGCAGAAGAAGAUAUACACCGACUAAAUUAUGGUGUACUUUUUCAAAAACAACCAUCAUUAUAUUUAUCACGUGAAUAUUGGCUUCACACUUUUGAAGUAGAAUUACCUAGUAAUAUUUCAAUUCAAAGCAUACCUUCAUGCACUGCUGCUGUAUCAACUUGUUAUUUAUUUAACUCAAUCAUUUUUCAUGUUAAUGUAUUAAAGGAAAACACAAUGACAUUUACUCAUCGAACACUUAUGGAAAUUUUUGACAUGGUUCCAGAAACAAAUUUGAACCCACAAAAACGUAAAUCUCGUGCUUUAUUGCCUUUCAUUGGUUCAUUAAGUAAAAGUUUCUUUGGAACAGCAACCAUGGACGAUGUCAACCUUUUGGCUAACCACAUAAAUAAAUUGAUAAAAAGAGAUAGACAAAUGAGUCAUGCUUUGGAACAACAUGGUUCACACAUUUCUUCUUUUAUGAAAGUAGUAAAUCAUAGAUUUGACAAGUUAAAGGAAGGCAUGAAUCUAAAUCAUAUAUUGGCCAAUCAAAUCUUGUCUUCAAAUAAACAAUUUGAAAUAUUGAUGGCAAAUCUGUCCAUGGUAGCAUUCGAACAAGUCAGUAAAGCUAACGAAAUUCAAGUUCAAUUAGUAAAUACUCUUUCUUCUAUUCAGUCUCUCAUAAAUGGUAAAAAUCACACCUCAUUUAAUACCAGAACAUGUUUUGAAAAAGACAAUAAACGGUAUCCUUGAUAUCUUGCAGAGAGAUUUUCCUAAAUUUCAUUUACUUCAAAACAAACCAUCUAUGUACUAUCAGAAUGCCAAAUUUUUUUUUACAAGGCAUCAUUCAAGGUUAUAUAUCACAAUGAAAUUUCCAAUUUCAUCAUUUUCAUCAGCUUUAACAUUGUACAAGAUUUUGUCGUUUCCUCAUCCUAUCAGUCAAAAGAAUACAACAAAAGCUUCUCAAAUACUUGAUUUACCAACGUAUGUUGCAAUAACGGCUAAUCAUCGUCAUUAUACAACUUUUAAUUACGAAACCUUGUACAAUUGUGAAUUUGAUAGGUACAUCACAUGUGAUGUUUCGUUACCCAUUCAAACUAUUAAAACGUCAAGUUGUAUUUUUGCAUUGCUACAUGAUAACAAAUCAGUAAUUUUUUGACCAAUGUAAUUUCAGAUUGUUACCAGAAUUGACAAAACCAAAUAUUUUUGAAUUAUCACCAGCAUCAAUUUUAUUGACAAAUGCUAAAGAGGUAACUUUGAAAUGCCCCAAUAAAACAUCAACACUACCAGGAUGUCAAUUUUGCAUUCAAAAUAUUCCUUGUAGUUGUACUCUACAAACUUCGACAAUAACAUAUCAUCCUCGUUUGGUAAAUUGUCAGGAAAAGUUACAAGAAAGUACAAAAUUAUAUCCAAUAAACUUAGCAUUAUUACAUGCAUUUUUUGGUUUUGACAAAGUAAAAUCUUAUUUUGGCAAUACAUAUUUCAAAACUGCAGUAAAUAUAUCGAUUCCAAAUUUUAAAUUUUACAAUCAUAAGUUUAAUUCAAUUUUAGCGUCAGAUAUUAAAGACCACUUAAAUUUGAAGAAAAUUGCUAAAUCAGCUAAAAAGGAUGAAACCAUUUUUCAAAAUUUAGCAGAACCUUUACUCGAUGGUCAAAUAACACUUGAUUCGAAUUGGCCAGACACUAACGGUUAUCUAGCAAUAGCAUCGAUAACUAUAGGAGGAGUUUCUUUUAUAGGUUUUGUUUAUAUGUUUUUACAAUUCAGAUCUUUGAGAACUUCACUUUUGAUUUUACAACAAGUUCAUAAUGUACAUUCAAAGUCAACAGUACCAUCUUUUCUUUUUGAAGCAGUCACACAAACAACUACACAAUCAUUUUUAGAUUCAGCUAUUUUAAAAGAAUUUACUUGGGUACAUGGAUCUUUAAUAGUAGGAGUUUUAAUUUUAAUACUUUUAAUCUGUGUUUUAAUUUGCCUAUUCAAACAUAAAUCUCAUAACACAACUAUAAUGUUAGAAAUUACUUCAGGAGGAUCAUGUGCUACAAUUCCAGUUACAUCAUUUCCAUUGUGUCCUUCUUAUUGGGAUAUUCAACCCCCGGUCACUAUUCAAAACGUUCAGAUUUGUAAUUUCCCAUUUGGAAAACUUUCAGUUGAGUGGCCAGGAUUCAAAGUUAUAAAUAAAUUGACAAAACAAAGCUUAACAGUUAAAACAUGUUUCAAAGUUGGUUUGUUUAAUUAUUUCAAAAUAAGGCGAAUAAUCAACCAACCAUAUUGUGCCUACAUAUUGAUUGUACAUCAAGGAUUAGCUACACCUUUACAAGAAAAUCAAGAACCUUUAAUUCCCAAAAUUCCACAGUAUCAAGAAUUUCAAAACAAUCUGUAUCCAAAUUUAGAACCUUAUUUAUAG